GGAAUGUGCCUUUCAGGCAUCCUCUCCUAAAAACUUUUCAGGCUGGUCUUCGGAUCAGCCUUUUUUUUAUCUGCGA
rfam:Sphingobium sp. AP49 PMI04_contig31.31, whole genome shotgun sequence.